GGCGCAAACCGGUAGUGCGUGAGGAGGCGCGGCACACAGGGGUCGCUGGGAGCCAGGCUAACGGGAGGCGCAGGCCGAUGGUACGUGAAGAGAUGCGCCCCGCGGCGCUCGCUGAGAGGCAGGCUGACGGCGGGGCGCCGGGAGGUGCAGGCUGGCGGUACACGAGGAGGCGCAGCCCGCGGCGCUCGCUGAGAGGCGGGGCGUCGGGAGGUGCCGGCGGUGCGCGAGGAGGCACGACCCGCGGCGCUCGCUGGGGAGGUGAGGUGCGGAAGGGUGUGUUCGGCGGCGGCCGGGAAGUACGGCGCUGUCCGUUGCGCGAGUACGGCGAUAUGUCCUGACGCCGAUAAAUACAAGUCUAGUGUACAAAAAAGAAACUAGGCGAAGUAAGCCAACAUGUCCAACUACACCACUGCCCACUCUACAUACAGGUACGCGAUAAGGUGUCGGCGCAUGACUAUUGGGUCCGGAAAUCUCUAAUUGACUCACGGUAUACAUAGCCGUUGUUGUGUUGUUGGCACGUCCAUACAAGGAAACAUUUUAGAGUCCUUAUAGAUUCGUCACACGUACCUAACCGACUCGGUAGGAUUAUUAAAAGAAUGGUGUUUUAACGUUCCACGUAAGAGAUAUGUAUUAAAAGUGAAGCAAGAUAAAAAACACAUAGAGAAAACAUCUUAGUAACAUCAGUCUCUUCAGCUACUCGUAUAACGAAAGAGACAAAAGUCUAUCAAAGGCUCGGGAGGAAGACGUUCUAUUUGACUAUUUAUUUAGUACACGACCGUCACCAUACUAUAAGUCCAAGCAUGUACAUAUAAAAGAUCCAAUGAGAAUCGAAAGUGUGUGGAUAUUUAAUAGAACUAAACACAUACGAAACUAAUGUGUUAUCACAUCAAUUGUCUUGACUCAGUAUAACUCGCCAAUCAACUCAUGGAUAUAGAUAUACACACUGUCGAGUGUCGGUCCGUUCAAUACAAGACAGCAGCUUAUCUAUAAGUAUACUGACUAAACACUUGAAAUCGUAAAACGUAAAUUAACACAGUAAAAAUUACCAAUCAAUCCGACUUAACCGCUUACUCAACUACUGACCCAAGUACACUAUUUAUUCGUAAAAAUUUCGAACACGAUAGUGAAUAAACUUAAGUACUAACGUCCUCACAGAGUACCGAAUUAUCAGCAAGUCCGUGCACGUUAAAAAUUCUCACUUCAGUCAUCUUAUUGAAGAAGACCCAACUCCAAAGUUGUCUAACUAAGUAACCUCCCUACGACCAUGUCACCGGUAUAGAUACCAUUCUGCAUACCCCAUUUUAAUCUUCAUCUAUGGAAAAACCAGACGACUUUAAAAUGGGCAGAUUUCUUUGAACCAUGCUGUAUGAUUCUACUUUAUAACAUAAGAAGUUAAACUCUGUAAAUUAUCACUUGACUCUCCGAGAUCGUACCUGAUGUUUGAUUAGAGUCGAUAUAAACCUACGUCACGUUCCUUAAGAAGAAGAACGUCAACGUCCUGGUACUCUACAGCUGCGAUGUGACACCUGUGUGGUUACAGGGUCGGUUCAGUCACUACGUCGGGGUUGAGGACUAAAGAAGUUCAACUCCUUCGACGCCGUCGGACUGAGGUAAGACGGAUAACGGCGGGAUAGGUUCGACGACGAUCCUUUGAUGAUGAGGGCAACCUAUCUACUUGGGAGACUGAUAGAUGAAAUACAAUAAGGGAAACACAAUAGGUUAACGAGAACUAUUAAAUUACUAAGUUAGUUUAAAGUGACGUUUAGUAUGACCUAGUCCGAAAAGAAGAAAGGUUAAAGUGGCCGUCUGCGCGUCGUCGCGGCCGCUCGCGGAGCCCACCGCCGCCCCUCCCCUCCCCACCUCAUUCCCCAACGCGGCCUGUUCCCAAACCAGCGAGAGCACAACGGGCACUCCCCGCUGCGCUCUCGACUCAACACCUUCGGCUACACUCCCCUAAACGUUAAGAAAGUUGCGUCACAAUCAAACGCAAUUCAACCUUUUAGGUUUAGGUAUGUAAAUGUUAAGAAGAACAAUAUUAAUAUAAUAUAUAAAAGUAAUUGAUUACAAAUGUCUUAUGGUAGACUCAUUGGCGGACUAUAUCGUCAAUCAAAAUUGUAAUCUACGUUGUUGAAACUGUAAAUACUAAACUAGUACAAAAAUAAUCCUGUUAUUUGAACAGAUCUUAAGUAAUACUUAACUUCCGAGACCUUUAUCUACGUGGACGAGGGAUUUAAUAAGAGUCACACUAAAGACUUAGUAUGUACGACUGUACGUAACCGUUAGUAAUAAGUUGCCUAACGGAAAAGUGACUUUAUUCUUGGCGUACUACGAAUGUUAAAUUAGACCAGUAGAUCUAUUGACUUACCCAAUUAAAAUACGAAUCAUAGAAGACCGUGUACAUUUCACCCCUUCUUUUGGUUAGAGAAAACUAUACCUGAAGACCUCCGUUGUAAGGAACUAACAUACGUGAAUUGUAAAAGAAAACCGAAGGACGAUAGCGCAAAAUUCAACAGACGAUUAUGAAAAUUCAGAGAGAACACGAGUUAAAGUCUACGAUAGAACACAUGCUAACUCGUCAGAGCUGAUAUGAAGCUGGGUCUGUAGUUGCUUCGUUUAUUGAACUAACAUUUCAUUUAAGUACUAAUAGUUACGGAUCGAAAACUAGAACUGAUUAUGCUUCCCACGUUACACAUCCAAGUCUCUCGAGGCUGCGAAAUAGGCUGGUUUCUGAAAGUUCGAUAUAAAAGAAAGUUCUAAAACUCGUAGGGACGUGUGCCUUGUUAUAACCUCUCUAUCUCACGGUGACAAUGUAAAGAGUUAUAGGUUCGAAAAUAAAGUAACAAGACUAUUAACAAUAUAAAACAACCA
rnacentral:rRNA from 1 species